rnacentral:rRNA from 1 species
GACGAACGCUGGCGGCGUGCUUAACACAUGCAAGUCGAACGGAAAGGCCCUGCUUGCAGGGUACUCGAGUGGCGAACGGGUGAGUAACACGUGGGUGAUCUGCCCUGCACUUCGGGAUAAGCUUGGGAAACUGGGUCUAAUACCGGAUAGGAGCCAUCUUUAGUGUGGUGGUUGGAAAGUUUUUUCGGUGUAGGAUGAGCUCGCGGCCUAUCAGCUUGUUGGUGGGGUAAUGGCCUACCAAGGCGGCGACGGGUAGCCGGCCUGAGAGGGUGUACGGCCACAUUGGGACUGAGAGACGGGCCAGACUCCUACGGGUGGCAGCAGUGGGGAAUAUUGCACAAUGGGCGCAAGCCUGAUGCAGCGACGCCGCGUGGGGGAUGAAGGCUUUCGGGUUGUAAACUCCUUUCGCUAGGGACGAAGCUUUUUUGUGACGGUACCUAGAUAAGAAGCACCGGCUAACUACGUG